rnacentral:rRNA from 1 species
GACGAACGCUGGCGGCGUGCUUAACACAUGCAAGUCGAACGAUGAACCGGAGCUUGCUCCGGGGAUUAGUGGCGAACGGUGAGUAACACGUGGGCAACCUGCCCCAGACACCGGGAUAACCUUCCGAAAGGAUGGCUAAUACCGGAUACGACCACUUCGGGCAUCCGACGGUGGUGGAAAGGAUUCUGGUCUGGGAUGGGCCCGCGGCCUAUCAGCUUGUUGGUGGGGUAAUGGCCUACCAAGGCGACGACGGGUAGCCGGCCUGAGAGGGCGACCGGCCACACUGGGACUGAGACACGGCCCAGACUCCUACGGGAGGCAGCAGUGGGGAAUAUUGCGCAAUGGGCGAAAGCCUGACGCAGCGACGCCGCGUGAGGGACGAAGGGUCUUCGGAUUGUAAACCUC